rnacentral:rRNA from 1 species
UACAGAGGGGGCAAGCGUUGUUCGGAAUUACUGGGCGUAAAGGGCGCGUAGGCGGCCUGUUAAGUCGAACGUGAAAUCCCCGGGCUCAACCCGGGAACUGCGUCCGAGACUGGCAGGCUCGAAUCCGGGAGAGGGAUGUGGAAUUCCAGGUGUAGCGGUGAAAUGCGUAGAUAUCUGGAGGAACAUCGGUGGCGAAGGCGGCAUCCUGGACCGGUAUUGACGCUGAGGCGCGAAAGCCAGGGGAGCAAAGCGGG